GCUAGGCUGACGCCAUGGCACUCUAGCCCAGGCAACAGAGUGAGAAAAAAAAAAGAAAAACAAAUUUCAUUUUAAUCAGGAAAUUAGCUGUGAAGGAAUAUAAUUGUUUUAGGAAAUUGGAAAGUGCUCAUAUUAGCCUUUACUAUUUCCACUGUUGUUUUAAAUAUAUAUUUGACUUGCCUCUUUUAUUUUCCCUCCAAAAAUAUAGACAAUAGAUUAAUUCAUCAUGAUAUUACUGAUAGACUUUAAUAAUAACUUUUGGUUGAGAGGCUAGUGUGCAUUAGAAGUAGAAGAAAAAAAAGUCAGUUUACUUCAGAAGGGAUAAGAGGGGGACUUUAUGGUUUUUGUAGGUUUGAGAUAUAGUCCUUGCACUGUAAUAUGAAUGGAAUUUUCCUCCAAUGUUCUUUUCCUUUGGUGAAGGAGCCCAGGCUCUGGACGUUCUUGUGUCACAAUCAUGGCUUGCUUUGUGACCCUAAGCAAGGUUACUUUUAACCAUUCUGAAUCAGAUUCCUCAUCUUUGAUUUAUCAUAACGAAUUCUGGAGAUAAUUAGAUGAAAUAUUAAAUAUAAAGUGCCAAUACAUAAUAAGGCAUUGAUAAGGCAGCCAAUAAAGGAUGCCUUAUUAAGCAACUUAACUAUUUUGGAAGACUGGAAUUUCAUAUUGCUGGGGGAAAGUUGAAGAGCCAAUGUAGAAUACAUGCUUCAAUGUUAACCCAUUGGAGAGGUGAGGAUUGGGGGUAUUUUUAUACUAAUUCCUAUCAGUUAUUGGUUGAAAGUUGCUACUGGUAAGGUUGAUUACCUGGCAUUUUGCUUCUGCCACUGGGGUGGCAAAGUAAGCUCCAGCAAUAACAAAAAGAAAACCUUAGUCAAAGAAAGACAGGUGCUGGCAGUUGAAAGUCAGGGCCCUGUGCACUGAACUGGUUAAAUGUGAAGGGAUAUGGGUAGGUCACUGACAAGAGUCUUCUACAAUUAUGCUACCAUGUGAUAGUAAAGCUUUAGAAUUCUAACAUUUCUUUUCUUUUUUCCUGGGGAAUGAUAAUCAGGUACUUUUUUCCAGGAUGGCAUGUUGGGGAAACUCACAGAUUUUGACACAGACAUAUUUUAGUCUUCCAAGGUUUCAGAAAAGGAUGAAACAUAAUUUCUUGUCUUAUUCCAGGAAGCCCACUAGUAUCUUACAAAUAACACAAUUGUUUCAAACAUUGGGAGAAAAAAUUUCCAACAUUUCCCCAAAUUGCUCCCCAUAUAUUCAAAUUUUCUUUGAGUUUUUACUUAGAUAUAUAGAUAUGCAGGCUUGAUAAGAAAAUUCUUUUCAACAGAUUUAGGCAUUCACCAAGAAAUAAGGGAGAAUUGUUGAUGUUUAGUUAGAGCAGUUGAAUGAAUCUUUCCAGACUGCUGAAAAAGAAAAAAUGCCAAAGUAAUUUUUUACAGACUCACAAAUAUGAAAUAUUCAUAGUUUUGUUCUUGAUUUUCUAUUUUGCCAAUGGAAAGGAAAAGAAUUGAAGAGCUAAGUGAUAUAGUAUUUCCUUUUGAGAAACUGGAUAAAUAAAAGUAGGAACUCAGUGUGAGAUUCAAAGGGUAAAGAGACCGAUAAAAUUCCAUUAAUACAUUUUAAAGAAGAGUAACUUUGUAUAAUAUGGAUUUUACAAAUUGUUUUUGCAUUUAUUAUCUUUUUUAUUUUCCAUACUUCUGACAUAGAUGGGAGAAGUUUGAUUUUAUUUAUUUUAUUUUACUUGUAAGGAAAACAAAGAAAAAAAUGAAUGAAAAACAAUUCUAGAGAACUUGCAAAUGAUUACUUGAGUGAAGAAUCUUUUCCAUUAGGAGAAGCAGAAAUGAAGUAAAGGGCAGCAAUUCAAAAGUAUAAUUGUGAAAUGGAUUAGGAGCUAAAAACCGGAUGGGGAAAGACGCAGAAACUCAUUCUUUUGGACCAUGUUGUUUAGAAACUCUAUAGGACUGAAUGUCUUCAAGGACCCACAUCAAAGGAAGAAGCAUGAGCCCCAGAAUAUAAAGCUUUAAAAGUGGACUGUUAUUUUAGGUACAAAUGCCAGUGGAAACUUAAGGUUUUUAUAAGGAUCGUUAUUGUUUUGUUAGGGCUCAGAUUUUAAAGUGUCAUAGGUUUUGAGUGGUCUGGCACUAACUAUUUUCACUGUAAGUCCAGCUAUUUUUAUUUUGCAGAACAUGAGGUUAUUCGGGAAUGCAUAUAUGGUGUUAUAGCACAAACACCUCUACUCGAUUCUGGCUUAGUGGUAGUCACCUUUUUGAGCAACGGGUAGUUUGAAUUACCCUUUAUCCUUUUUCUUUUCAGGGCCUAUUAUAGUGUUUGACAGAGCCGACACUAGCCCAUUUGCAUGCAUUAGAAAAAGAUUUUCCUUCCUCUGAGCAUAUUUUGGUCUUUAAUUGCAGGGCUUGGAAUACAGAACUCUUUUUGGAUUUUAUUAAUAGUUCUGCUUGCCCUUUUAGCUAGGCCCUUGUGCAGUGUUUAGUUUGAAAACACUACAUGGUUGCCUGGCUUCCUGAACAAGAGACACAUACAUAAAUGCACAUACACACGCAUGCACACACAUAAUGCUUGUUGAACUGAUUGUUCCUUUAGCAAAUAAAUAUAUUUUUGUUAGUUUAACAAUUCAUUUACAGUAUUUCCUUUUAAAAAAAUAUCUCUAGUUGUCAAUGUUUGAUGUCAUAUGAGGGAUUUUACAAACACAUUUAAGACCAUUUAAUAGACAAUUAACUUUCAAAAUCCUUUCCAUACAAGAGAAAGGGGGUAGUAGUGAUAAAGUGCAUAAGAAUUCCCAAACUUCUCGUUUUUUUCUUUUUCUUCCUGUUUUUGGGGUGGAGGGAUAGCAGGAGAACAAGACUAAAUUUGUCCAUCUGAUGUGUGAACUAUUUUAAACUAAUACUGAAAAUUUCAGUUUGGGUAGUUGACAAAGUAGGUUCUGCCAGAGUUCUAAGCAAAUUGCAUAAUAUAUCAAGAUGUGUUUACUCCCUUUCAUAUAUACUUCCUUUUGGAACUCUUUUUAUGUUCUAGUCUUAGAUUGUCCUCAGACAUCCUAAAUCACACCCUUUAAUUUGUUUUAUCUUCGUGCUAAAAUACCUAGAGUUCACGACUAUUUAUUUAUUUUGAUAUUUGUUUAUUUCAUGAAUGUGUGUGUACAUGUUUACAACUAGAUGGCAGAUUAUUAAAGUUAUUAACCUGUAUAUCAGUAAGGCUUAAUUUUCUUAAAGACAAUGAGCAUUUUAUAAGAAUUUGUUAAUCCAAAUGAUCCUAAUGGCAUAAAAUAUUUUUGAGGGAGAGGUAUAUUGGUUAAGGCAUAUGCUAAGCUAUCCUAACACAGAGACCUCAACAUAAAUAUAUAGAAUUUAUUUUCCUUUCAUUUAACAAUCAAGAAUUAGAUGUUUCACAGGGUUUAGCAGAGACCUGUUGGUUUUGCUGUCCUCUGGGAUGCUACCUUUGCCUGUAUUGUUGAGAUUCACUAAUACUUCAUGUCAUUUCCAUACUUAAUCAUUUUAAGGACUUAAUCAUGUACCAGUCAUUUAUAAUGGCCAGACCCAGAAGUUGCACACAUCAUUUUGGCUCACAUUUUGGCUUCUUGUCAAGGACUUCAUCACAUAUAGUCAGACCUAGCUGCAUUUAAGAUUGGGAAAUAAAGUCUAGCUGAGCUGUUAAGGACUCAGCUAAAACUCAAGGAGUCCCAUUAUCCAAAAGGUAUAAGAGAAUGGAUGUUAGGGGAAAAUAUGCAGUCUGUUCAAUUUGCCUCUUUGGCCACCCAAAUAUCCAUGUACUUCUCGUACAUAAAACAUACCAACUCUUCAAGUAUGAUAAACCAAAGUCAUAUUCAGUGGAUGGAGUAAAAUCCUUUCCAUCAGGUCCCGAGGUGGUUCUUCAGGAUAUGGUGACCUAUAAAUUGAUAAGCAAGUUUUUUUAACUCUCUUGACCUCUUGCUGCUUGUAUGUAUGAUGGAGUAGGGACAAGAAAAUCACAAUAGAAACUUCCAUUGGGAAAAAAGAAGAAUGGGAUAGAUAUACAUGACAGUUCUUGCACCUUAUAAUAAUAAGACUUAUUGCUCUAGCAGUGGAACAAGAUCUCACCAGAACCCUAAUAUUGCUUUCUGAGAGAAGCUCCCUUGUCCUUUGUCCGUGACUUUACUCUUUGGGAAUUAUUCUUUGUGCAUUAUUCUUUGUGAUUAUAUUUGAAGUGGGUAUUUACCCAUAUUAGAGGCUCCACUGACUACCUUCUCACUCUGCUUUCUGUUGGGGUAGAUUAGGCUUCCAGGGGAAGUUUGUGUUAGAUUUUUGGCAAUAGAGUUCUCUCAGAAACAUAGAUUUCCAUUCUGUUUUUCUCUAGUCAGUUAUAUGUGAAAAUACCGCAGCCACAGAUCUUAUCUGGUCAUAGUUGUUAAGCCUACAGACUUGUUAAUUUGCUAUUUAUUUCCCUUAGACCAUCCAUCGUCCCUUAUUUAAUGACCACCUAAGUGUAAUGGCUACUAUAUACCUACUUUAACAAAACUUGAAAGUAAGCUAAAAUUGAUGAAGUUGAACAGCAAAUAAUUUAAUAACCUGCUAAAACAAAACUUAUCACUCUUUAAAGGAAGACAACAAAACCCACACAUUCAACAAUGUAAUAUUCCUAUACCUAUAGUAUAUGUCUUUAUAUAAAACCAGCUAUUAGACAUUUGUUUAUAUACUUAUAUAUAUAAGUGUCCAAGUAUUGUGUCCAAUAUAUGUGUCCAAGUAUUAAACAUGCAAAGAAACAGAAGAAAAAUCAAAACUAGAAACAGACCUGGAAGUGACAGAGAUGAUGAAAUUAAUCAGCAAAGAUAUUGAAAUAUCUAUUGUAAUUAUGCUCAAGGACUUAAAGGAAAACAUGAACAUAAUGAGAGAAAUUUAAGAUGUCAGAAAGAACUAUUGAGCUUUCAGAAGUGAAAAAUUAAGUUUCUGAAAUGAAAACUACUUUUUUAGCUUAACAGGAAAACAGGCAUUCAAAAUAAAUGGUUAACAAAUAAAAAAAAAAUCAUUGCUGACUUCUCACCAGAAGUUAUGUAAGCCAGAAAAAAAGAAAAAAUGGAAUGAUAUAUUUUACAGUGCUGAAAGAGGAAAAAAAGUCAACCUAAAAUUC